rnacentral:lncRNA from 10 species
CAUUACAUAACUGAAGACUCCCACCUUCAGGCAGGAUUGGGUAGUACGUGUUUGUAACUACCUGGCAUUGCCUUUUGUUGAGGAAGGGUAGAUGUCUACCCAAAUGGAAUAUUGAGUAUCAGAGACUUCAAAUGAUAACUUUUGUUUGUUUGGAGAAAAUCUUGAGGACGUGAUCACUGUACAAAAGCAUGGCAAAAUGAGGAAACCACUGACAGGUGAAGAAUUUGCACAAUGGAAAACCACCUUGACCAUCUCAUGACUUUAUACAGGAAUCGGAGACAUCCAAGGCCAUUCCAUUUCUAAAUCACACUUAUCCCUCAAUCAAGUCAGUGACUGGAUCAUCUCCUAAGGUUUCACCUGCUUUGCAUCAGGUAGGGUUCCACUCCCAUUGCCCAGGCUGGAGUGCAGUGGCGUGAUCUUGGCUCACUGCAACCCCCUCCUCCCCUAUUCAAGCAAUUCUUCUGCCUCAGUCUUCUAAGUGGCUGGGACUACAAGCGCGUGCCACCACACCCGCGCUUAUAAUAGAAAAUAAUUUUUCUGUUUUUUUGUAGGGAUGGGGUUUCACCAUGUUGGCCAGGCUGGCCUCGAACUCCUGAGCUCAAGUGAUCAACCUGCCUCUGCCUCCCAAAGUGCUGGGAUUACAGGUGUAAGCCACCAUGCCCGGCCUCUGAUUUUUCUAUAGUGAGAACAUAACUAUUUCUGUAAUAAUAUUAAAAAUACUUGUCAGUAUCACAUAGAAUUUUCAACAGC